AGCGGCGGACGGGUGCGUAACACGUGGGUAACCUGCCCCUAUCACUGGGAUAACACACUGAAAAGUGUGCUAAUACCAGAUAACAUAAGCUUUUGGCAUCAUUAGCUUAUCAAAGAAUUUCGGAUAGGGAUGGGCCCGCGUCUGAUUAGCUAGUUGGUGAGGUAACGGCUCACCAAGGCAACGAUCAGUAGCCGACCUGAGAGGGUGAUCGGCCACACUGGAACUGAGACACGGUCCAGACUCCUACGGGAGGCAGCAGUGGGGAAUAUUGCACAAUGGGCGCAAGCCUGAUGCAGCCAUGCCGCGUGUAUGAAGAAGGCCUUCGGGUUGUAAAGUACUUUCAGCGGGGAGGAAGGUGUUGUGGUUAAUAACCGCAGCAAUUGACGUUACCCGCAGAAGAAGCACCGGCUAACUCCGUGCCAGCAGCCGCGGUAAUACGGAGGGUGCAAGCGUUAAUCGGAAUUACUGGGCGUAAAGCGCACGCAGGCGGUCUGUCAAGUCGGAUGUGAAAUCCCCGGGCUCAACCUGGGAACUGCAUUCGAAACUGGCAGGCUUGAGUCUCGUAGAGGGGGGUAGAAUUCCAGGUGUAGCGGUGAAAUGCGUAGAGAUCUGGAGGAAUACCGGUGGCGAAGGCGGCCCCCUGGACGAAGACUGACGCUCAGGUGCGAAAGCGUGGGGAGCAAACAGGAUUAGAUACCCUGGUAGUCCACGCCGUAAACGAUGUCUAUUUGGAGGUUGUUCCCCUGAGGAGUGGCUUCCGGAGCUAACGCGUUAAAUAGACCGCCUGGGGAGUACGGCCGCAAGGUUAAAACUCAAAUGAAUUGACGGGGGCCCGCACAAGCGGUGGAGCGUGUGGUUUAAUUCGAUGCAACGCGAAGAACCUUACCUGGUCUUGACAUCCACAGAACCUUGUAGAGAUACGAGGGUGCCUUCGGGAACUGUGAGACAGGUGCUGCAUGGCUGUCGUCAGCUCGUGUUGUGAAAUGUUGGGUUAAGUCCCGCAACGAGCGCAACCCUUAUCCUUUGUUGCCAGCGGUCCGGCCGGGAACUCAAAGGAGACUGCCAGUGAUAAACUGGAGGAAGGUGGGGAUGACGUCAAGUCAUCAUGGCCCUUACGACCAGGGCUACACACGUGCUACAAUGGCAUAUACAAAGAGAAGCGACCUCGCGAGAGUAAGCGGACCUCAUAAAGUAUGUCGUAGUCCGGAUUGGAGUCUGCAACUCGACUCCAUGAAGUCGGAAUCGCUAGUAAUCGUGGAUCAGAAUGCCACGGUGAAUACGUUCCCGGGCCUUGUACACACCGCCCGUCACACCAUGGGAGUGGGUUGCAAAAGAAGUAGGUAGCUUAACCUUCGGGAGGGCGCUUACCACUUUGUGAUUCAUGACUGGGGUG
rnacentral:rRNA from 1 species